AAGGAGAGGGCAUUCAAUGAGUGGUAUAGGGUGGCACCGAAGGAAGCAACCAUAUGUACAUCUUAUAUGACGGUGGGGAAGAAAUUUUUUGCUGAGCUACUUACCUCUGAAGGAUGGUUGACUUCCGAUCAUAUUGACACUAUUUUGUAUUUCAUACGAAAAAGGCGGUUUGAGAAUGAGAAGAUGUUCACCCACACCUGUGCCAUAUUAGAUGUGUUAUUUUGAUCAUCCAUCAAAGGGCGUUAUCCCAUAUGGGGGGCAUCUCGUAGCACAUAUAUAUGUGAUGCGACCCUUCAUAGCUAUGUGCGUGGGAAGUCACCCAAACCUAGCGUGCCGUGGC